UUAGUUAAAACCAAAUAAGAGGUAUACCACUGUUAAUGGUAAAAGUGAACCCAAGUUCUAACUAAG
rnacentral:tRNA from 1 species